rnacentral:rRNA from 1 species
UACCAGCACCCCGAGUGGUUGGGACGAUUAUCGGGCCUAAAGCAUCCGUAGCCGGUCCUACAAGUCUUCCGUUAAAUCCACCUGCUUAACAGAUGGGCUGCGGAAGAUACUAUAGGGCUAGGAGGCGGGAGAGGCAAGCGGUACUCAGUGGGUAGGGGUAAAAUCCUCUGAUCCAUUGAAGACCACCAGUGGCGAAGGCGGCUUGCCAGAACGCGCUCGACGGUGAGGGAUGAAAGCUGGGGGAGCAAACCGG